rnacentral:rRNA from 1 species
CACGUAGGGGACGAGCGUUGUCCGGAUUCAUUGGGCGUAAAGCGCGCGUAGGCGGCUCGGAAAGUCGGGCGUGAAAUGCCGGGGCUCAACCCCGGGACUGCGUCCGAUACUUCCGAGCUGGAGUACGGUAGGGGCAGAGGGAAUUUCCGGUGGAGCGGUGAAAUGCGUAGAGAUCGGAAAGAACACCAACGGCGAAAGCACUCUGCUGGGCCGACACUGACACUGAGAGACGAAAGCUAGGGGAGCGAAUGGG